UGCAGUCGAACGGUGAAAGAGAGCUUGCUCUCUGGAUCAGUGGCGAACGGGUGAGUAACACGUGAGCAAUCUGCCCCUGACUCUGGGAUAAGCGCUGGAAACGGCGUCUAAUACCGGAUACGAGCUGCGAAGGCAUCUUCAGCAGCUGGAAAGAACUUCGGUCAGGGAUGAGCUCGCGGCCUAUCAGCUAGUUGGUGAGGUAAUGGCUCACCAAGGCGUCGACGGGUAGCCGGCCUGAGAGGGUGACCGGCCACACUGGGACUGAGACACGGCCCAGACUCCUACGGGAGGCAGCAGUGGGGAAUAUUGCACAAUGGGCGCAAGCCUGAUGCAGCAACGCCGCGUGAGGGACGACGGCCUUCGGGUUGUAAACCUCUUUUAGCAGGGAAGAAGCGAAAGUGACGGUACCUGCAGAAAAAGCACCGGCUAACUACGUGCCAGCAGCCGCGGUAAUACGUAGGGUGCAAGCGUUAUCCGGAAUUAUUGGGCGUAAAGAGCUCGUAGGCGGUUUGUCGCGUCUGCUGUGAAAACUGGGGGCUCAACCCCCAGCCUGCAGUGGGUACGGGCAGACUAGAGUGCGGUAGGGGAGAUUGGAAUUCCUGGUGUAGCGGUGGAAUGCGCAGAUAUCAGGAGGAACACCGAUGGCGAAGGCAGAUCUCUGGGCCGUAACUGACGCUGAGGAGCGAAAGGGUGGGGAGCAAACAGGCUUAGAUACCCUGGUAGUCCACCCCGUAAACGUUGGGAACUAGUUGUGGGGUCCAUUCCACGGAUUCCGUGACGCAGCUAACGCAUUAAGUUCCCCGCCUGGGGAGUACGGCCGCAAGGCUAAAACUCAAAGGAAUUGACGGGGACCCGCACAAGCGGCGGAGCAUGCGGAUUAAUUCGAUG
rnacentral:rRNA from 1 species